rnacentral:rRNA from 1 species
AUUGAACGCUGGCGGCAGGCCUAACACAUGCAAGUCGAGCGGUAGCACAGAGAGCUUGCUCUCGGGUGACGAGCGGCGGACGGGUGAGUAAUGUCUGGGAAACUGCCUGAUGGAGGGGGAUAACUACUGGAAACGGUAGCUAAUACCGCAUAACGUCGCAAGACCAAAGUGGGGGACCUUCGGGCCUCAUGCCAUCAGAUGUGCCCAGAUGGGAUUAGCUAGUAGGUGGGGUAACGGCUCACCUAGGCGACGAUCCCUAGCUGGUCUGAGAGGAUGACCAGCCACACUGGAACUGAGACACGGUCCAGACUCCUACGGGAGGCAGCAGUGGGGAAUAUUGCACAAUGGGCGCAAGCCUGAUGCAGCCAUGCCGCGUGUGUGAAGAAGGCCUUCGGGUUGUAAAGCACUUUCAGCGGGGAGGAAGGCGGUGAGGUUAAUAACCUCNUCGAUUGACGUUACCCGCAGAAGAAGCACCGGCUAACUCCGUGCCAGCAGCCGCGGUAAUACGGAGGGUGCAAGCGUUAAUCGGAAUUACUGGGCGUAAAGCGCACGCAGGCGGUCUGUCAAGUCGGAUGUGAAAUCCCCGGGCUCAACCUGGGAACUGCAUUCGAAACUGGCAGGCUAGAGUCUUGUAGAGGGGGGUAGAAUUCCAGGUGUAGCGGUGAAAUGCGUAGAGAUCUGGAGGAAUACCGGUGGCGAAGGCGGCCCCCUGGACAAAGACUGACGCUCAGGUGCGAAAGCGUGGGGAGCAAACAGGAUUAGAUACCCUGGUAGUCCACGCCGUAAACGAUGUCGAUUUGGAGGUUGUGCCCUUGAGGCGUGGCUUCCGGAGCUAACGCGUUAAAUCGACCGCCUGGGGAGUACGGCCGCAAGGUUAAAACUCAAAUGAAUUGACGGGGGCCCGCACAAGCGGUGGAGCAUGUGGUUUAAUUCGAUGCAACGCGAAGAACCUUACCUGGUCUUGACAUCCACAGAACUUUCCAGAGAUGGAUUGGUGCCUUCGGGAACUGUGAGACAGGUGCUGCAUGGCUGUCGUCAGCUCGUGUUGUGAAAUGUUGGGUUAAGUCCCGCAACGAGCGCAACCCUUAUCCUUUGUUGCCAGCGGUNCGGCCGGGAACUCAAAGGAGACUGCCAGUGAUAAACUGGAGGAAGGUGGGGAUGACGUCAAGUCAUCAUGGCCCUUACGACCAGGGCUACACACGUGCUACAAUGGCAUAUACAAAGAGAAGCGACCUCGCGAGAGCAAGCGGACCUCAUAAAGUAUGUCGUAGUCCGGAUUGGAGUCUGCAACUCGACUCCAUGAAGUCGGAAUCGCUAGUAAUCGUAGAUCAGAAUGCUACGGUGAAUACGUUCCCGGGCCUUGUACACACCGCCCGUCACACCAUGGGAGUGGGUUGCAAAAGAAGUAGGUAGCUUAACCUUCGGGAGGGCGCUUACCACUUUGUGAUUCAUGACUGGGGUGAAG